rnacentral:ncRNA from 2 species
ACUGCAGUGAAGGCACUUGUAGCAU